AGAACGGAGACAUACACCUGCUGUGGUUUGUGGUUUCCCAGUGCUACAUGCUUGGUUAGUCGCUGCUUGAACAAUGCCCACAAUGCAUUCCUGCUCUUUCAUCAUGGACGCACUUGGCUUUGUCACCCACCUGCCCCACCCCGCCUCGUACAGAUGGAUCACAGCUGAACUAAGGAGCUCCACUGAGGAGCAGCGAGACACACCGACGCGGUGCCUCGUGCGAACAGCAGUUAACUUUGCGGCAGUGCACGAUCUCCCAGUCACGGUUAAAGGGCUAUGCCAGUAUAAUAAGAUAAAUUAUGUGCACCUACGUGUCAAAUUUCUGAACAGUAAAGGAGACGACACAAAGCAAGGGGGUGUGACAUCGCGCCACACGGCUUGUGCUAAUGGCUUGACGUGCUUUGGAAAACAACGUGCGGGUUCGCGCAACGGCUGACGAAAUCCGGCCCCUUAACUGACGACACGAGAAACAACGAAAAUCGGGGCUACUUACAAUAGGGACCCUUUGAAACUAAA
rnacentral:lncRNA from 1 species